CCGCACUUUAUGGCCCCUGGUUCCGCCGGAGGCGCAUUAGGGGCCAUGCGUGCCCCCUCCCCGCAGGAAGGGCCUUAUCAGCCCUGUUUGCUUUUCCACCACCCGGCCGGCAUGGGGACGGCAACAGACAGCUCUCCCCAAAGCUGCUCCCAGCCCCCCUGAAGUGACCGGGCCCAGUCGUGCUGACACAGACCAGCCGAGAGCCCAGGACGAGAACUCGACGCGUCGCAAGUCGUGCCAGUAGCCGAUGUUGCCAUCAAUGAGGAGGAUGGCGAGGGGCAGCAGCACAGCCAACACCUGCGCCGCCGCACGCACGUAGUACCCCGAGAGGAAGGCGAGAGCCAGCAGCCCGU